CAUCUAUUUCUUCUCAAACGUCUAUUUCUUCUUCACUUCUCUAUCUAUCUUUUCUCCAAGACUCUUCCCCUUCUGCCAGUUCAUCUGUUUCCUCUUGUCAUUGAAUUGGUUCUCAAACAGAGGGUAUAGUAUACACACAUUUUACAAGGGUAUGCAAGUGAAUACCCUUUGUUUAACAUGGAUCCGCCUGACCCCGCCGCAAUGCGCAGGUACCGUUUUCGUAUAGAAAAUAGGAGUGUGCUUUCUGAAGACAAUCAGCGUAUUCCUCGGUCAUUUGACUUGCAAUAAUUGCUUGAGUUGCGAGAGCACAAUCCCACAGUUGACUACCAAAACUUUGCAUCGUCAUUCCAUCUUCUGCAAUCCAUAAGUAAUCGGGUAGUCUGGCAAGGUGAUAUUUGAACUCAUCUCCAUUUUGAUUCUCUGCCCACCAACACAUCAUUUGGAGACUCUGUGCAAAACAGAAGAAAAAUUUUGGAUAGUCUUUACAUGGUAAAAAAAAUCAAUCUUAUGUUAUUUAUUUUACGUUAAUUUAUUUUUGAGAACUUGGGCAGAAAGUUUACUUUUGCAACGCAUCCUAUUGUCAUGUAUCUAGUUUGUUCAGAUUCAUAGCGCAUAAGUUCAACAACUCUUUUGAGAGAUUUUUGUCGUAGUGUAGAAAAUGGCCAGUAUUUAAGAACGGGCUCCAUAACGUAGUGGAGACUAUGCCACAGUGCAUUUUGAAGAAAUGAAUGUGGGUAGAACAAGUCCUCCUGCA